UACGGAGGGUGCGAGCGUUGUCCGGAAUCAUUGGGCGUAAAGGGCGCGUAGGUGGCCCGGUCAGUUUGUGGUGAAAGCGCGGGGCUCAACUCCGCGUCGGCCAUGAAUACUGCUGGGCUGGAGCACUGUAGAGGCAGGCGGAAUUCCGGGUGUAGCGGUGGAAUGCGUAGAGAUCCGGAAGAACACCGGUGGCGAAGGCGGUUGCCUGGAGCUUUGCUGACGCUGAGGCGCGAAAGCGUGGGGAGCGAGUCCGG
rnacentral:rRNA from 1 species